AGAGUUUGAUCAUGGCUCAGGAUGAACGCUGGCGGCGUGCUUAAGGUAUGCAAGUCGAACGGGGAUUAUUUUGUAGCAAUACAUUGUAAUUCUAGUGGCAAACGGGUGAGUAAUGCGUAGAUAAUCUACCCCUAACAUUGGGAUAACGCUGCGAAAGCAGGGCUAAUACCAUGUGUGGUGCAAGGGUGCAAUUCCUUUGC
rnacentral:rRNA from 1 species